GACUCCAUGAAGUUGGAUUCGCUAGUAAUCGCGCAUCAGCCAUGGCGCGGUGAAUACGUUCCCGGGCCUUGUACACACCGCCCGUCAAGCCAUGGAAGCCGGGGUGCCUGAAGUCCGUAACCGCGAGGAUCGGCCUAGGGCAAAACUGGUAACUGGGGCUAAGUCGUAACAAGGUAAC
rnacentral:rRNA from 1 species